rnacentral:tRNA from 1 species
ACUCGGAUAGCUCAACGGGUAGAGCUGUUGGUGCGUAACUAAACGAUCCGGGUUCGACUCCCGGUCUGAGCC